rnacentral:rRNA from 1 species
AGCGAACGCUGGCGGCAGGCUUAACACAUGCAAGUCGAACGGGCACUUCGGUGCUAGUGGCAGACGGGUGAGUAACGCGUGGGAACGUGCCUUUCGGUUCGGAAUAAUCCAGGGAAACUUGGACUAAUACCGGAUACGCCCUUCGGGGGAAAGAUUUAUCGCCGAAAGAUCGGCCCGCGUCUGAUUAGCUAGUUGGUGAGGUAAAGGCUCACCAAGGCGACAAUCAGUAGCUGGUCUGAGAGGAUGAUCAGCCACAUUGGGACUGAGACACGGCCCAAACUCCUACAGGAGGCAGCAGUGGGGAAUAUUGGACAAUGGGCGCAAGCCUGAUCCAGCCAUGCCGCGUGAGUGAUGAAGGCCUUAGGGUUGUAAGGCUCUUUUGUCCGGGAAGAUAAUGACUGUACCGGAAGAAUAAGCCCCGGCUAACUUCGUGCCAGCCGCCGCGGUAA